CUCUCACUACACUCAAUAGCCCAGAGGAGACAACGUGGACAAAUGGGGUUUCCAGCGUGGGGCACAGUCAAGGAGCAUACAGUAGAUAGCCUAGGGGGUGUUAUUAAGAAGGAAAGUAGGGACUUCCCCAGUGGCUGAACGGUAAAGAAUCCACUGGCCAAGGCAAGAGACACAGAUUUGAUCCCUGAUGUGGGAAGAUCCCACAUGCUGUGGAACAACUAAGCCUGGGAGCCGCAACUAGCGAGCCCACGGGCUGCACCUAUGGAAGCCCGAGAGGCCUAGAGCCUGUGCUCCGCAACAAGAGAAGCCACUGCAACGAGAAGCCUGGGCACCAAACACAACUAGAGAAUAGCCCCCGCUCACGGCAAAAGCCCGUGCAGCAACGAAGACUUAGCACAGCCAAAAAUAAAUACAUAAAAUGUUUUUAAAAAGGAAAAUAAAUACAGUAUUGCUGUAUAAAUUUGAUAGCCUAUUACAACUUUUUAACAUCAUUUAACUUUCUGAAUCAUGUACAUGUUGCAUUUAUCAAACCAUGCAGUAAUAAUAUACAAAAAUGCCACUGAUAAUACACAAUAAAAAUUAUUCGAAGUGGUAUAACAAAUCUAAGACCAUCACAAGCACUGAAAUGGCAAUCUUAAGGAUUAAUCCAGAGAAACAAGAGGNNNNNNNNNNNNNNNNNNNNNNNNNNCUCGGAGAAACGUUAAUCAUUGCAGCAUUAUUUAUUAUAGAGAAAAAUAUUUAGCAUGAGGAAAAUGGCUAAGCAAAUUAUGAUGGCCUCUUUCAGAGCUAUUAAACAUAAAUGGUUUUUCUAGAGGUACCUCUGGGGAGCUGGCUACUUGGAUGUAUGUGCUCCCCAGGUUAUGAAAACCCUUCGGGCUAUACACUUAAUAUCCAUGUAGCACACACACGCACACAUGCACACACCCCAAAGACACACACCAAAAAAAGACCCAUGCAAGUUUCUGUAUAUACGCUACACUUUAACAAUUUUAAAUGAGUGCUUUUAAUAAUU
rnacentral:lncRNA from 1 species